rnacentral:rRNA from 1 species
UCGUAACAAGGUCUCCGUUGGUGAACCAGCGGAGGGAUCAUUACCGAGUUUCAGACUCCCAAACCCACUGGUGAACCACCGCAAGCGUUGCCUCGGCGGGGACCCCCGGCGCCCCAGCGGCCCGGCGGGGCGCCCGCCGGAGGACCACGACUCCGUAUUCCAGGCGUCCCUCCGAGUGAACGAAAAUGAGUCAAAACUUUCAACAACGGAUCUCUUGGUUCUGGCAUCGAUGAAGAACGCAGCGAAAUGCGAUAAGUAAUGUGAAUUGCAGAAUUCAGUGAACCAUCGAAUCUUUGAACGCACAUUGCGCCCGCCAGCACUCUGGCGGGCAUGCCUGUCCGAGCGUCAUGUCAACCCUCGAGCCCCGGCUCGGCGUUGGGGGUCGCGGCCCAGGCCGCCCCCGAAAUGCAGUGGCGACGCCGCCGCAGCCUCCCCCGCGCAGUAGAUUCGCUCGCGACGGGAGCGCGGAGGCCCGCGCCUCGAAACCGCAACACGAGUUGACCUCGGAUCAGGUAGGGAUACCCGCUGAACUUAAGCAUAUCAAUA